AAUUAAAUCUGUCAAGUUUCUUUAAAAACGGAAAACAAUUCUUCACCGUGGACGAUUUACCCUCUUUAUUUUCUUGUCGGCAAACUGGACCUGGAGGUCGGCAAACUAUAUUUUACACAGGAAACUACAGUUGUUAGACCACAUGUACAAUAUAAGCGGAGCUGGAAAUUACAAUCGAUUCAUAUUGGCUUGAGCAUGAUUCCCACUUAGAAUAUGAAGCCUGCUACAUGUGCACUUUGAUGCAUAGGAAAUAUAGAUGUCACUGAGUCACUCUUAUAGCUGCAAAUUGUGAAACAGUGGAUUAAUUCAUUAUUUUGUGCUAGUUAUUUAUUGUUUUUGGAAAUAAUGAAUAGCACUUGCAGCAUUAUUCCAUGAUGAUGAUGACUUGUGAUGUUAGGAUUAAAUUGGACAAGAAAAAAAAUUGUGCAUUGUACAAAUAGGAAACUUACAAAUUGUAUUAAAGGAGGACCACAGUACUGGAUGACUAAAUAACUUGGAUAAUCAUGAUAAUUAUUCAUUUGGUAUAUCAAUAAUGAAUUUGGAAUAACAAGAUUUCAUAGUUUCAGUGCAUAUUAAUAGUGAAAUCAUACAUUGUAUCUGAAUUCCAUGAAUACUUUGGAUAAUUAUUCAUUUGAAAUAGCCAUUUGGAAUAAUGAAAAUUCCUAGUUUCAGUGAAUAUUAAUAAUAAUAGUGCAUAAUAUCUGAAUUCAUGAAUACUUUAGUGGAUAAUCAGUCAUUUUAAUAUAAUAACAAUUUGGAUAUAAUGUGAAUUUCUAGUUUCAGUGAAAUUUACAACACAGUGCAUGUAUAAAUCGCAUCCGAAGUUUAUGUUGGCAUUGCAAUUGUUAACUACCACCAGGGUGUGUAAAAAGACCUUAACCACCCAUGAGGGUCUCUCGUAGUCGGUCACAGUUGUUAAGUGUCAAAUGACUGCUUGCUGUACUUAAAGUCUGAAUUAGAAUUAAAUAAAAAUCUAAAUUAGUGCCCAAGCAUAUUAAACAAAUAAACCAUGUA